rnacentral:piRNA from 1 species
UAGCUAGGACCAAAAACCAUGUGAAAACGU